CAGAGAGGAACGGCCGGAAGUUUACAGGGAAGAUGGCUAGUCCCUGCCAAUGGGGUGAAGAAGUCAGACAUCUGGUUGCUGGGAUGUUGGAAAGUAAUCGGCCAAGAGAGUCAGCGCGCAGCUUCCUCGGAUUGCAAACCUCGGGGUCCCAGGAACACUCGUGAUUCUGCCGGAGCAAAUGUACAUCGCAGUGCUCCUCCACAGAGCUCCUCCUCAUACAGUGCCCCUGGAGUAAUUGCUAGCUCGAGGAUGCUGGGGAAAAAAGAAACAGUCGCGGCAGGAUGGCUGGACUCAGCGAGCACGGAGGAGCAGGAGGCAUCUGGAAGCAAGGCACAAAAGGAUGAAGCUUCCAGAGAGGAGGAAGGCGCUGAAGAGAUUCUGCUCUGGGGAGAAGCUGUAAGAGUGGCCAUGUUUCAAGUAAAAACACUCUCAAGGCAACAGAACGGGUGAACAACUUCAAAACAAGAUGAAACUCAAGUGCUCGAGACUCUCCAUCGACACUGCUUGACUAUGAGACCUAUAAGAUAAAGAGUGAAGAGUGAAAAGCUUGAACAAAUGGGGAUUUCAGGAUAGCACCCUGGGCCUUGUCAGUGUUCCAAGAGGAGGACCUCUUCAUCAGUCACCUCUCAUUUUCCAUGUUCCUAGAAAGUGAGUCUGACACAAGGCUGCCCCAGAGCCAUUGGACAGUGCUGCCUCUUGGUUAUUUGACCAAGGAUAGACUGAGGUUUAAGUGAGACACUCAGAAUUUACAUCUCUGUGGGGUUCCUUUCCUUGAUACCUCAUCGCAUCCUCGUCCUGGGAUGAGAUCUUCCCGUCAGCUAAGUCAGCAGGAAGAGACCUGGGAGAGGAAGGGCCUGCAAAUGCCUCGGGCGAGGUCUGGGUUUUGUGGCCUCAUCCCUGGGCUCUGACACUGGCUGCUCUUACUGGAUUGCUGAGGGAUGAUGCAUCAUAUGCAAUCGUCCACCACUGGCCCACGAAAAGGCUCCUGGAUACAGCAACGGGAUGCUGUUUUUAGCAACAGGGCAGUUGAAUCUUCUACCAUUCUUGCCAAGGAGGUGGUGCAGAGAAGGAUGGCCUCACUCUGACUUCAGCGGAACAAAGGAAGCAUAGACGCCAGGUGUCCAGGAAGCCUCCACAGUCUGCAGAACAGAUGGGGACUGCACAGACCGGGGACUGUCUUGUCAUAGCUUCACAGGCCUCGUGUACUCUGUGUGGUGCUCUGGACCACUGCAGCAGAAGAUUAGCUAGGACAUCCAAGGCACAAUGUGACGGAUUUUCACAGCGUGAGACCAGCAUCCGUAGAAUUCGGGGGAGGUAUUAGAAACAUUAGGUAGCAAAGCUGGAGGCACUGCUGGUGAAUGUCCAGAGCAGAUGCAUGGAUGAGGGAAUGAAGUAAUAGUGACUGUCUUAGUCAGGGUUUUGUUGCUGUGAAGAGACACCAUGACCAUGGCAACUCUUACAAAGGAAAGCAUUUAACUGGGGCUGGCUUACAGGUCAGAGGUUUGGUUCAUUGUCAUCAUAGCUGGGGGCAUGGCAGCACUCAGGCAGAGAAGGUGCCGGAGGGGUAGUUGAGAGUUCUACAACCAGAUCAGCAGGCAGCAGGAAGAGAGAGUGACACUGGAUCUGGCUUGAGCAUCUGUAACCUCAAAGCCUGCCCCCAGUGACACAUUUCUUUCAACAAGGCCACCUAUCCUAAAUUCUUUCAAAGAAUGUCACUCCCUAGGGGCCUGUGGGAUCCAUUUUCACUCAAACUGCCUGUUUCCAAAAUAACUCUACAGGCAUUUUUUCAAAUGACACCCCACAGUGUAGAGUCAGCCGACGUGGAUCAGGAUCUGUCCCUUAUUGAUUGUGCCAUUGUUUGGAUAUGAAAUACUCAAAUACUCAUGUGUUAAAGAAA